rnacentral:RNase_P_RNA from 1 species
CGGUCUGUCGCUCCGGCCGCAUAAGGCCGUAGAGGAAAGUCCGGGCAACACAGGGCACCGCAUUUUUUAACGGAAAGCUGGCAGCGAUGUCAGGGAUAAGUGACAGAAAACAACCGCUUUGCAUCUUCGAUGCAGAGCAAGGGUGAAAAGGCGAGUGUAAGAGACCACCGGGCCGCAUGGCGACAUGCGGCGCCGCACAUCCUGCGGGUUGCAAGGCCAAAUAUACCGGCAGCUAAGGACGGCCCGUCCAUUGUCGGGGGGUAGGCUGCUAUAGCGUGCGGGCAACCGCAAGCAAAGAUAAAUGACAGACACGUUCUCCGGAACGCACAUAACCCGGCUUACAGGGCCUCU